CCCAAAUUACUUAUUUGUGCCAAAUAUUAGGUUGGCCCAAACCUACAAAAAUGAAAGGAUGAUACAUGAACAAGAAAAACAAACAACAAUCUAAAAGUUCAUAAAUAUUCUAUCAGAUGUUCGGAAUAAGACUCUUCAAGACGACGAUAUCUGCUUAAAGUUAAAACCAAUAAGCUAACUAGCUAACUAGUUAGGGAUUGGGCUAACUCAUGACUCAUCCUAAAUGUGUAAAUCCAUGUGGC
rnacentral:lncRNA from 1 species